GACGAACGCUGGCGGCGUGCUUAACACAUGCAAGUCGAACGGAAAGGCCCUGCUUUUGUGGGGCGCUCGUGUGGCGAACGGGUGAGUAACACGUGAGUUACCUGCCCUUGACCUUGGGAUAACUUCAGGAAACUGGGUCUUACACCGGAUAGGAGCUUCUGAUGCAUGGUGGGGGUUGGUAAGUUUCGGGGGUUGGGGAUGGACUCGCGGCUUAUUAGCUUGUUGGUGGGGUAGUGGCUUACCAAGGCGUUGACGGGCAGCCGGCCGGGGGGGGUGACCGGCCACAUUGGGACUGAGAUACGGCCCGAACUCCUACGGGAGGCAGCGGUGGGGAUUAUUGCACAAGGGGCGGAGGCCUGAUGCAGCAACGCCGCGUGCGGAAUAACGGCCUUCGGUUGGUAAACCGUUUUGGCCUGGGACGAAGCGUGAGUGACGGUAAUGAGUAAAGAAGCACCGGCUAACUACGUG
rnacentral:rRNA from 1 species